GUCAAGAGUGACAGAUUGGCCGGAGUCGGUGACAGUUUGAGCUCGGACGACAGCGAAGUCAAGCAGCCCCCAUUCUUACAUUUGCCAUCUUACAAAGCUUUAUUAUAGAAUCUUAACAUCGUGUUUACACUGCAAAAGAGCGACGCGAUGCUACAAAACUUAAACCAAACCGUUAGAAUAAUAAUUGAUUAUAACGGGCGCUUUCUAUUUUUGUCGCGUCGCGUGAGAUAAUUACGUAAUUACGCACUUGUGGCGGUUCCCAACAGCUUAUACAAAUAACGUAACGUUGCUCUUGUUUGCUUUGACCAAAAACUUUAGUUUUAGUGAAGUCAAAGACAAGAUAAAGUUAUUUUCAAGACGCAGAACACGGCAAGGAUCAGUCUAAGUGGAGAUGACAUCCUUUUUGGACAUUUAUAUAUUUUCUCUCAAAGUAUUUGUGCUGUCAGCGCUGGAAGAAAAGUCACGGACAUCUGCGAAGAAGUCUCCAAAAGAACGUUCAUCAGACGGAUCUUUCUUAGAAAUACAGACAUUCUGAUUGUAACUUGGGCUGGCACCAAGUCUGAUGACUUUUCCCAGAAGAUUCAGUGAAGACAUAGAGAGAGGGAGCAGAAAGAGAGCCUUCUUGUCCAAUAAGAGGAAAGAGGACUGAAGAAUGUAAAAAGCUCCCAUUCAGGCUGGUUCACAGGGGCUGGGAGCGGCCACAUCCUCAGUAGGGAGGAGGGGUUGACGCUUUCAGGAUGGUGGUCUAGGGUUCUUGGACAAGGGCCAGGAGCGAUGCAGAGGCUCCUCGGAUGACGCUGGUCCGUGGGAGCGUCCAGUGCCCCCGCCUCUCCUCUGUCCCUUAGGACAUCGUCUCUUCACAUUUUAUUUACUCACACAAACAAACUCUCCCAGCAGUCCUUCUACUAUCAGAGCAGAACCAGCCAGUAGUGUGCAUGGUGAGAAAUGAGUCUCUAUUAAUAGAGCAGUUAGAUUAUCUCAAAGACUAAUGACUGGCAUGUCCAGAUUCCUGAAAGGCACAGCAGUGACGUACUUUCAUCCACUGGCAAUGAUCUAAUUUCCUCUGAUAUUCUAUAAAUUCAACUUGUGGUUCUCUUUUUAAAACAGUUUAUAUUUUAUUUGCACACCAUUAUCAUCACCUAUUAUAGUUAAUGAAACCAUUUAUAUGUAAUGUUUAUUCAUUUAGUAAACUUUUUAUUUUU